GCUGGAUUUUGACCUUGAUCACGAUGACGCUUUCACACAUUGAUAGAAUGUGCAUUAACAAUUUAGAGGUCACAUGAACCAAAGUCAAGACGAUUUUUAAAGGCCUCACUGACAAGUAUAGGAACAGGGAUAUCCCUGGCCUUGCCAGGGAAACAGGCUUCACUAGGCGUAUGGCCUGUACAUAUUUCUUGACCAGUGGCCGUUCAUCAAUGAAACGAACGAUUUCUAUUUCUGGACAUAUUUCAAUGACUGUGCCCCAGGGGGGCCUGAUUGCACAUACACAAGUUGAUUCAAAUGCAUGGCAGCCGUGUUCGCGUGAUCAAAACCAGGUAAGUGGAAUUGUUAAUUCUCACGUGAGUUAAAAGUAUUCUAAUCAUGAUUAAUAAUUAUAAAGACGAAAUGUAUCAUCAUAAAGCGUAAUCAAAAGCAACUCCUUCACGGAAGUAAUGCAGAUUAACGUUUACAGAAUAAUGCACUAACUCUUAUUUAUAAAUAUUGAACUUUUCUAGAGGACAGAUCGUAAUAGCAUAUUGUCAACAUUUCAAAGAAUAAGAAGACGUUUACAGUAACUAGUGAUUUCUAGACCUUUUUCAAAUUAAAGCAGUAACGACUUAUAGCUUCUCAUUUAUGAAUAACCAUGCGCUUCACCUUUUUUCUCAUCUGUCACAGAAUUAUUCCUUGUGUAAAGGAUUGGCUUCUUAUAGUUAAUAACUAGAUAUUUAUAAAAUAAAGUGUUAAUUGUUAGCACUGUUCCAUUCCAAAUUAAUGACAAUAUAAAAGGAACAAAUAUAAUUCCCAUAAACUACAGAAUUGUGAAAGCUAC